GGCCGCGGUAUAAUGACCGUGCGAAGGUAGCAUAAUAAUUUGUCUUUUAAUUGGAGGCUGGUAUGAAGGGUUGAACAAAAGGCUAACUGUCUCUAAGAUAAAUCUUGAAAUUAACAUUUAAGUGAAAAGGCUUAAAUGAGCUAGAGGGACGAUAAGACCCUAUAAAUCUUUAUAUUUUGCCUUAUAAGGUUAAAAAUUAGGUUCUUAUUUAAUCUUAUAAGGUCAAAUAUUUUGUUGGGGAGACAGAGGUAUAAAAAAAGUAACUGCCUUAAAGUUUAAGUUAAAAAUGUUUAAGUUGUUAAGUGAUCCUUUAAUAAGGAAAUUAGAAUAAGUUACUUUAGGGAUAACAGCGUAAUUCCUUUUGAGAGUUCAUAUCGAAAAAGGAGAUUGCGACCUCGAUGUUGAAUUAAAGAUCCUUUACGGUGCAGAAGUUGUAAAAGGAAGUCUGUUCGAC
rnacentral:rRNA from 1 species